AUACGGAGGGUGCAAGCGUUACUCGGAAUCACUGGGCGUAAAGCGCGCGCAGGCGGUCUUUUAAGUUGGAUGUGAAAGCCUACGGCUCAACCGUAGAACUGCAUCCAAAACUAUUAGACUAGAGUGUGGGAGAGGAAGAUGGAAUUAGUUGUGUGGGGGUAAAAUCCGUAGAGAUAACUAGGAAUACCAAAAGCGAAGGCAAUCUUCUGGAACACUGCUGACGCUGAGGCGCGAAAGCGUGGGGAGCAAACAGGAUUAGAAACCCUAGUAGUCC
rnacentral:rRNA from 1 species